rnacentral:misc_RNA from 1 species
GAUGAAGAACGUAGCAAAAUGCGAUAAGUAAUGUGAAUUGCAGAAUUCAGUGAAUCAUCGAAUCUUUGAACGCACAUUGCGCCCCCUGGCAUUCCGGGGGGCAUGCCUGUUCGAGCGUCAUUACAACCCUCAAGCUCUGCUUGGUAUUGGGCUCUGCCGGUCCCGGCAGGCCUUAAAAUCAGUGGCGGUGCCACUCGGCUUCAAGCGUAGUAAUUCUUCUCGCUUCGGAGACCCGGGUGCGUGCUAGCCAGCAACCCCCAACUUUCUCAGGUUGACCUCGGAUCAGGUAGGGAUACCCGCUGAACUUAAGCAUAUCAAUAAGCGGAGGA